UACGUAGGGUGCAAGCGUUGUCCGGAAUUAUUGGGCGUAAAGAGCUCGUAGGCGGUUUGUUGCGUCGGCUGUGAAAUCCCGAGGCUCAACCUCGGGUCUGCAGUCGAUACGAGCAAACUAGAGUGUUGCAGGGGAGACUGGAAUUCCUGGUGUAGCGGUGAAAUGCGCAGAUAUUAGGAGGAACACCGGUGGCGAAGGCGGAUCUCUGGGCCUUACCUGACGCUGAGGAGCGAAAGCAUGGGGAGCGAACAGG
rnacentral:rRNA from 1 species